GCCCAUCUGUGGGGGAUACCAGUUGGAAACGACUGUUAAUACCGCAUAAUAUCUGCGGAUUAAAGGUGGCCUUUGUGCUGCCGCAGAUGGAUGAGCCUGCGUUGGAUUAGCUAGUUGGUAGGGUAAGGGCCUACCAAGGCUACGAUCCAUAGCUGAUUUGAGAGGAUGAUCAGCCACAUUGGGACUGAGACACGGCCCAAACUCCUACGGGAGGCAGCAGUGGGGAAUAUUGGACAAUGGGGGAAACCCUGAUCCAGCAAUGCCAUGUGUGUGAAGAAGGCUCUAGGGUUGUAAAGCACUUUAGUUGGGGAGGAAAGCCUAUAAGUUAAUAGCUUGUAGGAAGGACGUUACCCAAAGAAUAAGGACCGGCUAACUCCGUGCCAGCAGCCGCGGUAAUACGGGGGGUCCGAGCGUUAAUCGGAAUUACUGGGCGUAAAGGGUCUGUAGGUGGUUUGUUAAGUCAGAUGUGAAAGCCCAGGGCUCAACCUUGGAACUGCAUUUGAUACUGGCAAACUAGAGUAUGGUAGAGGAAUGGGGAAUUUCUGGUGUAGCGGUGAAAUGCGUAGAGAUCAGAAGGAACACCAAUGGCGAAGGCAACAUUCUGGAUCAAUACUGACACUGAGGGACGAAAGCGUGGGGAUCAAACAGGAUUAGAUACCCUGGUAGUCCACGCUGUAAACGAUGAGUACUAGCUGUUGGAUUCGGUGUAAAGGAUCUAGUGGCGCAGCUAACGCGUUAAGUACUCCGCCUGGGGACUACGGCCGCAAGGCUAAAACUCAAAGGAAUUGACGGGGACCCGCACAAGCGGUGGAGCAUGUGGUUUAAUUCGAUGCAACGCGAAGAACCUUACCUGGUCUUGACAUCCUGCGAACUUUCUAGAGAUAGAUUGGUGCCUUCGGGAACGCAGUGACAGGUGCUGCACGGCUGUCGUCAGCUCGUGUUGUGAAAUGUUGGGUUAAGUCCCGCAACGAGCGCAACCCCUAUUGAUAGUUACCAUCAUUAAGUUGGGUACUCUAUUGAGACUGCCGCUGACAAGGCGGAGGAAGGUGGGGACGACGUCAAGUCAUCAUGGCCCUUACGACCAGGGCUACACACGUGCUACAAUGGGUAUUACAGAGGGCUGCGAAGGUGCGAGCUGGAGCGAAACUCAGAAAGGUACUCUUAGUCCGGAUUGCAGUCUGCAACUCGACUGCAUGAAGUCGGAAUCGCUAGUAAUCGCAGGUCAGAAUACUGCGGUGAAUACGUUCCCGGGUCUUGUACACACCGCCCGUCACACCAUGGGAGUGGGUUGCUCCAGAAGUAGAUAGUUUAACGAAUGGGCGUUUACCACGGAGUGAUUCAUGACUGGGGUGAAGUCGUAACAAGGUAGCCGUAGGGGAACCUGCGGCUGGAUCACCUCCUUA
rnacentral:rRNA from 1 species